ensembl:lncRNA
GGGUAUUAAUUAGGCCCGUGUGGAUGCUGUUUCUCUAAAGGCCACCGGUUUGAACCCUCGGACCGCGGAGCUGCUGUGUUCGGGGUCACAGCGGUAAAGGAGACUCACAGUACUUUCUGCAACAUGUGGAACGUGAUGUAAUAACUGCACGCUGUGUUCUCCGUCUUGUCACGAGGGGGAAAUAACAACCGAGGUGUAACUUUGGGGUUCAGACAGACGACAGAAAGUAUUUCAGAGGAAACUUUCAGACCUGCUGACGUGUUGAGUUGAUUUCUAAAGAGAUUCAUCAAAGUUCCUUCUCAGACAUUGAAGAAACGGAGAGACAUAUAUAUCUACAUCUCUAUGUAGAUAUAUAUCUAUGUGUGUGUAUAUCGGUGAUUCCUGCCCUGAAGGUCGUCUCUUACUGUUUCUAUUGGCAUUAUAAAUAUGGGACAUUCAAGUCAUUUCAUUGGGAUGGAAGAAAUGUGGCAUCCUUCUGGCUUUUCACUGCUCAAGUAUCUUAACGAAUAUAAAUGGGGGGAAAGCUGCUCACCACAGGAGGAACCAAACCAAUGUGCUGGUGAUUUACACCUUCGGCGCCAACAGCCCCUCACCUGCAUCACAAUUACAUUCUAGACAUGAAGUGGAAGCUGUUAUCUACCCCAGAGCCGUUUACAAUGAGGGCAACAACACAAUCGGCUUAAGUUAUUUCACUGCCAACAUUCCAAGGAAUCAUUAGUGAGAAGUGCAGGGGUCAGAAACGUCCUGGCAAGAGACGGAACAAAUUCCCCCCGUCCCUCCGACACAUUCAUGCAUAUAAAUGACUCAUUUCUCGUCGAAACGGAGACGUGGUGAGAGGACGAGGGAACACCGGGCGGAAGCAAUUCAAAGGGCUGUGAGGAGAAAUAAGGAGAAUGCAGUUAGUGAAGUUAAAAUGUAUUCUUUGGUUUUCAAUGAAUGUAAUCUGGGAACUUUUUAUAUGAAAAGGUGUGCUGCAUGACGAUAUGUUGAACUGGUACCAACCACCGAGUAGCUCUGGUUUAGAAGCCUGGCUGUGUGUCUUUGUCAUAAAUAAUAAUCAUGAUGUGAUAAAUAUACAUUUGGACCAUUUAAAUACAUUUCAGGUGGGAUUUCACUCGAGAAGUUGCUGACAAAAGAGGAAAAUGUGCUAAAUUUGAGACGAAACAUCUCAGGAACAAACAGGAGUGAUGACGGUAAAUAAAAGAACAGACACACACACACACACACACACUCCCUGAAAAUCACACAUAGAUGCACACGCACACACACUCACACACACACUGUGUGGAAGAUUAGCUCACUACACGCUAUGGUACAAUCCUCUUUGAGCGACUUAAACUUUCUCAUUACACGUUCACAUCCGGAUUUCUUUCCAGACAGCGAGAGGAAGACUUUUAGUGAGAAAGGAAGUAAGAUAAAAGGGAGAGAGACAGAAUGCAAGACAGAGAGAGAGAGAGGAUGGGAGGGAGGUUGAGAGAGAACUGGAAAGAAAGAGCGAGAAGAAGAGGAAAAACAAAAGGUUUGGUGAAGGUCAAGAUGGGAAAGGGCUCAGAGAUGGGAGUGACAAGAAGGAGAGAGAGAUUCACACGAUGAGGAGGAUUGUUGAGGACACCUGUGUGUGUCUGUGUGUGUGCGUGUGUGACACCGUGACAUACGAUGGAGAUUGGAAGGUAGUGGUGGCGGGUGCAGCACAAGGGGAAUGAUAAUGGACUCACACUGUACAUAUUCAAAAAUAAACUUGGACACCUGCACACACAGACACACACAUGCAGACUGUGCAACUGCUCAAUGAAAGCCAACAAGACGGAGUGACAUCAGAGAGGAGACGUCCUUCAGGGCUACAAACACAGAGCUGUGCAGCGUGAGACGCUCAUCAGAACACAGAGAGACGAAUGCUGAUUCAGGAUCAGUCACAACCGAGUCCGUGCACAAAGUGGGGAAGACGCGGCGCUGGAUGUGUGCGUUCUCGUGGGAUUCAGACUGAUGCCAGCUUCCUGUUGUGCAUUUGUCGUUGUAACAGUGUUCCCUGCUGCCUUACUGCUUCCAUUUCAACCUCAAAGAGGCUUUUUUCAGUAAAAGACAGCGACGCCCAAAUGGUGAAAGGUGAAUUGCACCUGGAGUCUAACGCUGCAAGGGAUUCUGGGUAGAAACUGAUACCACGUGUGGUGCACAUGACACUCGGAUCUCUUCCCUGAACGAGUCAGUGCCAGCGGGUUGAAUGCCAUUUGGUAACAUGCGCCAUAACCAGAGGUACGCGGCUGUUCACCCUGGUUUGUUUCCCUUAGGUAGACCCUGGUUAGUGUCCCUUAGGUAUACCCUGGUUAGUGUCCUCAAGGUAGACCCUGGUUAGUGUCCUCUAGGUAGACCCUGGUUAGUGUCCUCUAGGUAGACCCUGGUUAGUGUCCCCUAGAUGGACCCUGGUUAGUUUCCCUUAGGUAUACCCUGGUUAGUGUCCUCUAGGUAGACCCUGGUUAGUGUCCUCUAGGUAGACCCUGGUUAGUGUCCCCUAGAUGGACCCUGGUUAGUUUCCCUUAGGUAGACCCUGGUUAGUGUCCUCUAGGUAGACCCUGGUUAGUGUCCCCUAGAUGGACCCUGGUUAGUUUCCCUUAGGUAGACCCUGGUUAGUGUCCCCUAAAUAGACCCUGGUUAGUUUCCCUUAGGUAGACCCUGGUUAGUGUCCUCUAGGUAGACGCUUGUUAGUGUCCCCUAGGUAGAGCCUGGUUAGUGUCUAUCAGGGUCAUUUCAUUGGCUCAUUUCACCGUACUUCUGUGACAUAACUGGGAUUUGAAAUGGUGAUUUUCCUUUGUGGUGCCAGCAGCGAGCUGCAGGACCCUUCUCCCAUCAAAUAGCUUCUCUUAAAAAGAUUAUUCUGGGCCUAUCAGAGGAUGUCAUUUGGAAGCAAAUGCAUUGGGGAGCUCUGCCCAUCUGUUAUAUGUAAUCUAAUUUUCUCAUGCUCCAAAAGCUGGCCAGGAAGAAAAAAAGGAAAUCUCCAGGAUCUCUGAAGCCUUUUAACGUGUUACGGACACGUUUUCUCACUCAGCUCACAUUUCUCACUCACCCCGGGAUCACUUCUGUCCAAAAAUGUUCUCAACAACGGUUUAUAUACAACACCACAUUCAUGAUGCGGACCGGGAGCGUUCCAGAGAUCCG